GUCGGGAUAGCUCAGUUGGGAGAGCAGAGGACUG
rnacentral:tRNA from 2 species